UCUCUAAUAGCUCAGUAGGUAGAGCAAGUGGCUGUUAACCACUCGGUCGUUGGUUCAAAUCCGACUUAGGGAG
rnacentral:tRNA from 2 species